AGAGCGGCGGACGGGUGAGUAAUGCCUAGGAAUCUGCCUAGUAGUGGGGGAUAACGUUCGGAAACGGACGCUAAUACCGCAUACGUCCUACGGGAGAAAGUGGGGGAUCUUCGGACCUCACGCUAUUAGAUGAGCCUAGGUCGGAUUAGCUAGUUGGUGGGGUAAAGGCUCACCAAGGCGACGAUCCGUAACUGGUCUGAGAGGAUGAUCAGUCACACUGGAACUGAGACACGGUCCAGACUCCUACGGGAGGCAGCAGUGGGGAAUAUUGGACAAUGGGCGAAAGCCUGAUCCAGCCAUGCCGCGUGUGUGAAGAAGGUCUUCGGAUUGUAAAGCACUUUAAGUUGGGAGGAAGGGCAGUAAGUUAAUACCUUGCUGUUUUGACGUUACCGGCAGAAUAAGCACCGGCUAACUCUGUGCCAGCAGCCGCGGUAAUACAGAGGGUGCAAGCGUUAAUCGGAAUUACUGGGCGUAAAGCGCGCGUAGGUGGUUUGGUAAGUUGGAUGUGAAAGCCCCGGGCUCAACCUGGGAACUGCAUC
rnacentral:rRNA from 1 species